GUUAUUUUAGUUUAUUAAAAUAUAGUAUUUUCAUUACUAAGAUAAGACUGCUCUUUUAUAAUA
rnacentral:tRNA from 1 species